rnacentral:rRNA from 1 species
AUUGAACGCUGGCGGCAUGCUUUACACAUGCAAGUCGAACGGCAGCGCGGGCUUCGGCCUGGCGGCGAGUGGCGAACGGGUGAGUAAUGCAUCGGAACGUGCCCAGUAGUGGGGGAUAGCACGGCGAAAGCCGGAUUAAUACCGCAUACGACCUGAGGGUGAAAGCGGGGGACCGAAAGGCCUCGCGCUAUUGGAGCGGCCCAUGUCGGAUUAGCUAGUUGGUGGGGUAAAGGCUUACCAAGGCGACGAUCCGUAGCUGGUCUGAGAGGACGACCAGCCACACUGGGACUGAGACACGGCCCAGACUCCUACGGGAGGCAGCAGUGGGGAAUUUUGGACAAUGGGGGCAACCCUGAUCCAGCCAUGCCGCGUGCGGGAAGAAGGCCUUCGGGUUGUAAACCGCUUUUGUUCGGGAAGAAAUCCUCUGGGCUAAUACCCCGGGGGGAUGACGGUACCGGAAGAAUAAGCACCGGCUAACUACGUG